rnacentral:rRNA from 1 species
AGCGAGCGCUGGCGGCAGGCCUAACACAUGCAAGUCGAACGAACUCUUCGGAGUUAGUGGCGGACGGGUGAGUAACACGUGGGAACGUGCCUUUAGGUUCGGAAUAACUCAGGGAGACUUGUGCUAAUACCGAAUGUGCCCUUCGGGGGAAAGAUUUAUCGCCUUUAGAGCGGCCCGCGUCUGAUUAGCUAGUUGGUGAGGUAAAGGCUCACCAAGGCGACGAUCAGUAGCUGGUCUGAGAGGAUGAUCAGCCACAUUGGGACUGAGACACGGCCCAAACUCCUACGGGAGGCAGCAGUGGGGAAUCUUGCGCAAUGGGCGAAAGCCUGACGCAGCCAUGCCGCGUGAAUGAUGAAGGUCUUGGGAUUGUAAAAUUCUUUCACCGGGGACGAUAAUGACGGUACCCGGAGAAGAAGCCCCGGCUAACUUCGUGCCAGCCGCCGCAGUAA